rnacentral:ncRNA from 2 species
AUUUAAGAAGGAAAUGGUGUCCUUCCUUUUCUAACCGCUUUUUUAAAAGCUGAUGACGCCUGAUUAAGC